CCUACGGGAGGCAGCAGUGGGGAAUAUUGGGCAAUGGGCGCAAGCCUGACCCAGCAACGCCGCGUGAAGGAAGAAGGCUUUCGGGUUGUAAACCUCUUUUCGCAGGGACGAAAAAAGUGACGGUACCUGAGGAAUAAGCCACGGCUAACUACGUGCCAGCAGCCGCGGUAAUACGUAGGGGGCAAGCGUUAUCCGGAUUUAUUGGGUGUAAAGGGCGUGUAGGCGGGUGAGUAAGUCAGAUGUGAAAGGGCGGGGCUCAACCCUGAGACUGCAUUUGAAACUGUUUUUCUUGAGUGCUGGAGAGGUAAUCGGAAUUCCGGGUGUAGCGGUGAAAUGCGUAGAUAUACGGAGGAACACCAGUGGCGAAGGCGGAUUACUGGACAGUAACUGACGCUGAGGCGCGAAAGCGUGGGGAGCAAACAGGAUUAGAUACCCCUGUAGUC
rnacentral:rRNA from 1 species